AGACAGCCAGGAUGUUGGCUUGGAAGCAGCCAUUCAUUCAAAGAGUGCGUAACAGCUCACUGGUCGAGCGACAGGGCAUCGAUAAUAAUCGGGCAUCAAACAUAGUACCGAAGCUUAGGUAUCCGUCUUUGGCGGAUAGGUAGGGGAGCAUUCUGAUGGCGGCGAAGAUAAGCUGUAAGGCUUGUUGGAGCGAUCAGAAGAGAAAAUGUAGGCAUAAGUAACGAUAAUGCGGGUGAGAA
rnacentral:rRNA from 1 species